rnacentral:lncRNA from 1 species
CUGGGCUGGCUUUAGCUCAGCGGUUACUUCGAGUACAUUGUAACCACCUCUCUGGGUGGUUCGAGACCCGCGGGUGCUUUCCAGCUCUUUUACUGCUGAAGUUCAGCUCCUUUUCCAUGGGGAACCAUGGAGAAAUGGCUGAUUUUAGCACUGGGCAGGAAAUACAGAGAUGGACAGGGUGCAUCUCACAGUGCUAGAAAACACAGCCUGUCUCUGUCUCCCAGGCUGGAGUGCAGCGGCUCCAUCUCUGCUCACAGCAACCUCUGCCUCCUGGGCUCAAGCGAUCCUCCUGCCUCAGCCUCCUCCCGAGUAGCUGGGACCACAGGUACUAACCAGGCCUGACCCUACUUAGCUUCCAAGAUCAGAGGAGACCGGGCACGUUCAAGAUGACUUGGAACUGAAGAAGCUGGCAAUCUGGAAAUGCCAAUGGACGCAGAUUUUAAAAGCCCCAGCAAAAGUCUGCUUUCUCUAUUCAUAGGACCAGGAUCAGGAAGAGGACAGCUUAGAAAGACAUAAAAUUCUUAGACAAUAACUGUUCUACCCCAGCCAAACACCAAACACACACACACACACACACACACACACACUCCAACAACUAUGGCCCCACCCACUUCAGCAAAGGCUGAGUAGGAGCCUAAACUUCCACCACUGAGCGGCUAUAAGAAGUUACCCCAAGACCCCACCAACGUGGUGUUAAAGAAGGCCAAAUAGGGGACAAAAUUUUUAUCCAUGCUGACCAGUUAUGAGGUUCCCUUUUUCCCUCUGUGAAAUAAAAAUAAAGCCCGUAGGUCCCCAGGCAAGAUGAAAUGGACUCCUUGUUGCAAAAGAGACCCCAGAAAACUUUAAAAGCUGGAUUCUAUGGCUUUGGCAAGUGGGAGACCCUUCACAUGUUUCCUGUGGUGUUUUUACAAGUAUUCCCAUAAUUUUUGAGCAGUUUCUUACUUUCUGAAGAAAAAACAGAUAUUCGUUUCUUCUUGCACUUUUGUCACCACUAUCCUGAG